UACGUAGGGUGCAAGCGUUGUCCGGAAUUAUUGGGCGUAAAGAGCUUGUAGGCGGUUUGUCGCGUCUGCUGUGAAAUUUCAGGGCUCAACCCCGAACUUGCAGUGGGUACGGGCAGACUAGAGUGUGGUAGGGGAGACUGGAAUUCCUGGUGUAGCGGUGAAAUGCGCAGAUAUCAGGAGGAACACCGAUGGCGAAGGCAGGUCUCUGGGCCACUACUGACGCUGAGAAGCGAAAGCAUGGGGAGCGAACAGG
rnacentral:rRNA from 1 species